rnacentral:rRNA from 1 species
GACGGAAGGUGCAAGCGUUGCUCGGAAUCACUGGGCGUAAAGGGUGCGUAGGCGGCUUGGUGGGUCUGGUGUGAAAGCCCCGGGCUCAGCCCGGGAAGGGCACUAGAAACUGCCGAGCUGGAGUGCCGGAGGGGAGAGUGGAAUUCCUGGUGUAGCGGUGAAAUGCGUAGAUAUCAGGAGGAAUACCGGUGGCGAAAGCGGGUUGCUGGGCUGAUACUGACGCUGAGGCGCGAAAGCUAGGGGAGCGAACGGG